rnacentral:rRNA from 1 species
CAGUUCGGAUCGUAGGCUGCAACUCGCCUGCGUGAAGUUGGAAUUGCUAGUAAUCGCGGAUCAGCAUGCCGCGGUGAAUACGUUCCCGGGCCUUGUACACACCGCCCGUCACACCAUGGGAGCCGGUAAUACCCGAAGUCAGUAGUCUAACCGCAAGGGGGGCGCUGCCGAAGGUAGGAUUGGCGACUGGGGUGAAGUCGUAACAAGGUAAC